rnacentral:rRNA from 1 species
UAGUCCACGCCGUAAACGAUGGUUACUAGCUGUUUGGACUAAUUGAGGUCUAAGUGGCCAAGCGAAAGUGAUAAGUAACCCACCUGGGGAGUACGUUCGCAAGAAUGAAACUCAAAGGAAUUGACGGGGGCCCGCACAAGCGGUGGAGCAUGUGGUUUAAUUCGAUGAUACGCGAGGAACCUUACCAGGGCUUAAAUGCAUAUUGACAGGGGUAGAGAUACCUUUUCCUUCGGGCAAUUUGCAAGGUGCUGCAUGGUUGUCGUCAGCUCGUGCCGUGAGGUGUCAGGUUAAGUCCUAUAACGAGCGCAACCCCUGUUGUUAGUUGCCAGCGAGUGAUGUCGGGAACUCUAACAAGACUGCCGGUGCAAACCGUGAGGAAGGUGGGGAUGACGUCAAAUCAUCACGGGCCCUUACGUCCUGGGGCUACACACGUGCUACAAUGGGUAGGGUACAGAGAGCAGCCACUGCGUGAGCAGGGAGCGGAAUCUACAAAACCUAUCACAGUUCGGGAUC